UGGGGAAUCAUGGUCAAUGGGCAAAAGCCUGAACCUGCGACGCCGCGUGAGUGAUGAAGGUCGUAAGAUCGUAAAACUCUUUUCAGGGAUCUUAAAGCUUUUCUGUCAACAACAGAAAAGUGUGACUCUCCCUGGAAUAAGCCCCAGCCAACUACGUGCCAGCAGCUGCGGUAAUACAUAGGGGGCGAGCGUUAUUCGGAAUUACUGGGUGGAAAGGGUAUGUAGGCGGCCUCACAAGUCGUAUGUAAAAGUCCAGAGCUUAACGCUGGGUU
rnacentral:rRNA from 1 species